GAUGAACGCUGGCGGCGUGCCUAAUACAUGCAAGUCGAGCGAAUGGAUUAAGAGCUUGCUCUUAUGAAGUUAGCGGCGGACGGGUGAGUAACACGUGGGUAACCUGCCCAUAAGACUGGGAUAACUCCGGGAAACCGGGGCUAAUACCGGAUAACAUUUUGAACCGCAUGGUUCGAAAUUGAAAGGCGGCUUCGGCUGUCCCUUCUGGAUGGACCCGCGUCGCAUUAGCUAGUUGGUGAGGUAACGGCUCACCAAGGCAACGAUGCGUAGCCGACCUGAGAGGGUGAUCGGCCACACUGGGACUGAGACACGGCCCAGACUCCUACGGGAGGCAGCAGUAGGGAAUCUUCCGCAAUGGACGGAAGUCUGACGGAGCAACGCCGCGUGAGUGAUGAAGGCUUUCGGGUCGUAAAACUCUGUUGUUAGGGAAGAACAAGUGCUAGUUGAAUAAGCUGGCACCUUGACGGUACCUAACCAGAAAGCCACGGCUAACUACGUGCCAGCCGCCGCCGUAA
rnacentral:rRNA from 1 species